CCGCCGCGGUAAUACGAAGGGGGCUAGCGUUGCUCGGAAUGACUGGGCGUAAAGGGUGCGUAGGCGGGCCUUUAAGUCAGGGGUGAAAUCCUGGAGCUCAACUCCAGAACUGCCUUUGAUACUGAAGAUCUUGAGUUCGGGAGAGGUGAGUGGAACUGCGAGUGUAGAGGUGAAAUUCGUAGAUAUUCGCAGGAACACCAGUGGCGAAGGCGGCUCACUGGCUCGAUACUGACGCUGAGGUGCGAAAGCGUGGGGAGCAAACAGGAUUAGAUACCCCGGUAGUCCCUGUCUCUUAUACACA
rnacentral:rRNA from 1 species